rnacentral:rRNA from 1 species
CACAUGACACGUCGAGCGGUAACAUUUCUAGCUUGCUAGUAAGUAUGACGAGCGGCGGACGGGUGAGUAAUGCUUGGGAAUAUGCCUUAGGGUGGGGGACAACAGUUGGAAACGACUGCUAAUACCGCAUAACGUCUACGGACCAAAGGGGGCUUCGGCUCUCGCCCUUAGAUUAGCCCAAGUGGGAUUAGCUAGUUGGUGAGGUAAUGGCUCACCAAGGCGACGAUCCCUAGCUGGUUUGAGAGGAUGAUCAGCCACACUGGAACUGAGACACGGUCCAGACUCCUACGGGAGGCAGCAGUGGGGAAUAUUGCACAAUGGGCGCAAGCCUGAUGCAGCCAUGCCGCGUGUGUGAAGAAGGCCUUAGGGUUGUAAAGCACUUUCAGUAAGGAGGAAAGGUUAGUAGUUAAUACCUGCUAGCUGUGACGUUACUUACAGAAGAAGCACCGGCUAACUCCGUGCCAGCAGCCCGCGGUAAUACGGGAGGGGGCGAGCCGUUAAUUCGGAAAUUACUGGGCCGUAAAAGCGUACCCAGGCCGGUUUUGUUAA